ensembl:lncRNA
CUCCAGAGGCCGGGUUAUGAAAACAAGGCUCCACGUGCCUGUUCCAGAGGAACCCUGUACUCCUCGCAAACUCCUCCAGGCAAGGAAGAUAUUGCAGCUGCAAAGAGGAACAACGCAGGGCAGGGAAUGGCAAGCACCAAGACGUAAGGAGUCCAGCCAGCAAGGAUCUGGCAGGGUGAGAUGUUUGGGCCUCAGCUCUCUUCCCACAGUUCAUCUGCAAAGCAAACGCUGAAUCCAUUGCUAGAGAAAAUACUGCUAUGUCGUGACAAGGCAGCAGCAGAGCAGAGCAGUGUGGACACCUCUUUGUGGGGCUGGUGCAAGUACUGAGAACAGCAGAGCCCACAGGAGAACACAAGCUGUUCC